AGCUCAUUUAAUGAUUAAUUUAAUAUGUGAAUAAUUACUGAAAUAUUCUUUGUAUUAUUAAAAUUAAUAAUUG
rnacentral:tRNA from 1 species